AGACAGAGAUACCAUAUGAACCUCACCUAAUGCAUGUCCUGAACUGAGCUGGAUCACCACGAUCUUGGUUUUGCGUCACAAUCGGCUUCCAGCACUGCCAAGGAAACCAGUUCCAAGGGAAACUGUUGGCUGCAGUACUCGGAUAUGUGGAUGAGCAGGAGAUAAUCAACUUCCCCUCUGCGAACAAAGUCUGAUUGCCUUUUUGCUAUUCAAACACGUAGCAGGAGCAUACCCCUGUCCACAAGAGAAAUGCUAUGUGCCUCAUUCCCAGGAGAAUUCCCAGGUGCUCCAGCUGUCAGCUCACAGAGCUACAGCUUUCUACUCAGACGGGACAUGCCUCUGCUCUGACACGGAGGUCCAAGUUCGGGCUCACACAUGGCAUCUCACAAACACCUGGCAUCUCUGAAUUGCUUUACAGUCCUGCAGGAAGGCAGAUCACAUUUUCCUUUCUCCUAAUUCAUCACAGAAAUUAAAACACAGAGAACAGGGAAAAACUGCAUUAGGACCUUCCUGGUGAACAGGUUUUAGCAGAAGGUCGGCUCCCCCACCUCACCUGCCCACUGGCCCUCAGGAGGGAGACUGCAGGCAGACCUGUUCCAGCAGCUCUACAUCUAG